rnacentral:lncRNA from 1 species
UCUUCUCCCUCUGACUCGCAAUCGAAGCACCGUUUGGAGACAGCCCUCAAAUUUUCCAGAGAAGAGAAGUGGAAGUUGAUACCUAGAGGUUCUGAAUUAUAGUACCUUGUUCCUGUCUUGGCCUCCUUGGAGAAUAUAAGUUCCUUGAAAGCAGAGAUUUUGUCUGACUUGAUGACUGCCAUCCCCCCAGGACGCAGAACAGGGGCCAGGUCACGCUCAGGAUUUGAGCUGUAUCGAAAUCCACGCUCUGCCACCCAACGGCUGUGACCGUGAACAAGUUAUUUAACUGCUCUGAGGCUGGUUUCCUCAUCUACAAAAUGGCAACGAUUUUUACUGUGCAAGUUUCUGAUGAGGAUUAAAAGAGAUGAUGCAUGUGCCACACGUGUUAUUAAACUAAAAAAUACCACUGACAGAUUUCCAGAGGAGCAAUUUUGACCAAAAUUUGCCGAUUUCCUUUCCUCUCUCUGAGGAUCUGUGUGGUAUAAAGAGGAAGGGCAAGAAGAAGGAAAAAUGGACUCAAAGAAGGAUUAAGA